GAUGGACGCUGGCGGCGUGCUUAACACAUGCAAGUCGAACGGAAAGGCCCAAGCUUGCUUGGGUGCUCGAGUGGCGAACGGGUGAGUAACACGUGGGUGAUCUGCCCUGCACUUUGGGAUAAGCCUGGGAAACUGGGUCUAAUACCGGAUAGGACCAUCGUUUAGUGUCGGUGGUGGAAAGUUUUUCGGUGUGGGAUGAGCUCGCGGCCUAUCAGCUUGUUGGUGGGGUAAUGGCCUACCAAGGCGUCGACGGGUAGCCGGCCUGAGAGGGUGUACGGCCACAUUGGGACUGAGAGACGGCCCAGACUCCUACGGGAGGCAGCAGUGGGGAAUAUUGCACAAUGGGCGCAAGCCUGAUGCAGCGACGCCGCGUGGGGGAUGACGGCCUUCGGGUUGUAAACUCCUUUCGCCAAGGACGAAGCGUUUUGUGACGGUACUUGGAGAAGAAGCACCGGCUAACUACGUG
rnacentral:rRNA from 1 species